GAUCAAGCGUAAAAGGGCAUUCAGGGGAUGCCUUGGCGCCAGGAGUCGAUGAAGGACGUAGUUGGUUGCGAUAAGCGACGGUUAGCCGCCAACAGGCUUUAACCCGUCGAUUUCCGAAUCGGAAAACCGGUCGUGUGGAAACGCACGUCAUCAUACGCUGAAUUCAUAGGCGUGUGAGGGUAACCAGGAGAAUUGAAACAUCUUAGUAUCCUGAGGAAAAGAAAGCAGAGCGAUUCCCUUAGUAGCGGCGAGCGAAAAGGGAACAGUCUAAACCGAAUGUGUGUCAAGCUCACAGGCGUUGCUCAUUCGGUGUUGUGGGAUUUAUCCGGACCGGGCUGUGGACAGGUCGGAGAGUUAUAAAAGUAUUAUCUAGCCGAAGGACCUGGGAAGGUCCGCCGUAGAGGGUGAGAGCCCCGUAGGCGAAAGGUUUUGCUCUCUCUGGGAUAAAUUCCCAAGUAGCGCGGGGCACGUGAAACCUUGCGUGAAUCUGGGUGGACCAUCAUCCAAGACUAAAUACUCCCUGGCGACCGAUAGUGAACCAGUACCGUGAGGGAAAGGUGAAAAGAACCCCUGUUAGGGGAGUGAAACAGUACCUGAAACCGUAUGCCUACAAGCAGUGGGAGGGCGUUUAUCGGGGGCUUGCUCCCGAUGUUGCCUGACCGCGUGCCUUUUGC
rnacentral:rRNA from 1 species